rnacentral:rRNA from 1 species
GGGAAUAUUGCGCAAUGGAGGAAACUCUGACGCAGUGACGCCGCGUAUAGGAAGAAGGUUUUCGGAUUGUAAACUAUUGUCGUUAGGGAAGAGAAAGGACAGUACCUAAGGAGGAAGCCCCGGCUAACUACGUGCCAGCAGCCGCGGUAAUACGUAGGGAGCGAGCGUUAUCCGGAAUUAUUGGGUGUAAAGGGAGCGUAGACGGCAGCACAAGUCUGGAGUGAAAUGCCGGGGCUUAACCCCGGAACUGCUUUGGAAACUGUGCAGCUAGAGUGCAGGAGAGGUAAGUGGAAUUCCUAGUGUAGCGGUGAAAUGCGUAGAUAUUAGGAGGAACACCAGUGGCGAAGGCGGCUUACUGGACUGUAACUGACGUUGAGGCUCGAAAGCGUGGGGAGCAAACAG